rnacentral:rRNA from 1 species
CCCUUAGAUGUUCUGGGCCGCACGCGCGCUACACUGAUGCGUUCAACAAAUUUCCUUGGCCGAGAGGCCUGGGCAAUCUUCUUAAUAUGUAUCGUGAUAGGGAUAGAUUAUUGCAAUUAUUAAUCUUGAACGAGGAAUUCCUAGUAAACGCAGAUCAUCAAUCUGCAUUGAUUACGUCCCUGCCCUUUGUACACACCGCCCGUCGCACCUACCGAUUGGAUGUUCCGGUGAAGCCUCGGGAUGAGGACUGGUGCCUUUAUUGGCAUGAGUUGUUCAGAACUUGUCUAAACCUUAUCAUCUAGAGGAAGGUGAAGUCGUAACA